CAGCAGCCGCGGGAAUACGGAGGGUGCGAGCGUUAAUCGGAAUUACUGGGCGUAAAGCGUACGCAGGCGGUUUGUUAAGUCAGAUGUGAAAUCCCCGAGCUUAACUCGGGAACUGCAUUUGAAACUGGCAGGCUAGAGUCUCGUAGAGGGGGGUAGAAUUCCAGGUGUAGCGGCGAAAUGCGUAGAGAUCUGGAGGAAUACCGGUGGCGAAGGCGGCCCCCUGGACGAAGACUGACGCUCAGGCACGAAAGCGUGGGGAGCAACCAGGAUUAGAUACCCGGGUAGUCCCUGUCUCUUAUAC
rnacentral:rRNA from 1 species